GGCCCCGUGGCGGAAUUGGUAGACGCAUGGCACUUAAAAUGCCUGGCCCGUAUGGGUGUGAGGUUUCGAAUACCUCCGGGGCCA
rnacentral:tRNA from 1 species